AAUAAUAGACUAAGAAAAUAUAAUGAUUAAAUAACACUAAAUGAUAGUUCACAAUGUACCCGUAUUAAAAUACAUUUAAAUUUUUUUUAACAAUAUACAUUUAACAUAAUUUAAAAUUAAAAUUAAAUGCUCCAAUACAAGAAAAAUAUUUUGAAAUGACAAUUACAGUACAAUUAAAAUAAAGAAAAAAAUAAGCGAUUUAUGCAAUGAAUGACUUAGUAUCAUAAACGAUUAAUAUCAAAAGACUACAAUGAAUGAAAAUAUUUAUUUUAAACACGGGUUUAUUUAUGUAUAUUGAAGAAAAAAAAAUUAUAAAAAAAAAACUUAUUGAAUUUAUAUGAUUGAUGAAUUAGAAAAAAACGAGUGUUAUCAAGACAAUUAAAUGAAUCAAACAAAUGUGUUACAAAUACUGAUUUUUAUAUAGAAAAAUAAACAUGAAAAAAAAGAAUAUAUGAUCGAUUUGAUAUGAUAAAUGAAUUAAUGUUGAGUUAAACAAGAUAUGAAUGAUUAUUAUCAAAAAAAUGCGCAAACAAGAGGAAUGUUAUGAAUUGGGGAUGAAAGAUAUUUUUUACAAAUGAUUGAAUUGAAUAUGUUAUAUGUUCCCCUAUUAAGAAAAAUACCAGUACUGAGUUUAUAUUUUUUUUUUGGAAAACGCGUGAAGCGAUAAUGAUCAAAUAUAAACAUAAUAAUGAAGCAGUGAUGAAACACGUUAAAACAAUUAGGAAGCUGUUGGGUUGCAUUUUUUUGGGAACAUUCUAAAAUUGAGCUGAAAUGGGUUAACAGGGUAUAAAAAGAACAAUGACGUUUUUUUUAUCUGAGAAAAACAAAUAUAUCAUGACUAAACAAUAAUGAAAUUUCAACGACAACUAAAUGAAAAAAGUAUGAUUAUUAAAUGUUUCAAAACAACAUGUAUGCAAGUAAGAGUGUGUGUGAGAAUAAUUGGACAAGGGAGGUGCACCCCAGAAUGAAUGUUGAAUAAUGUUAUAUGCUUAUACGAAGGAUUUACAGGAAACCAAUGGAAGACGAUCAAGUAGACAACAAUUUCAACAAGGACGAAUAUGGAAUUCAGCUCAAGGAAGGGUAAAAUUUGUGAGUAUAUCGUGGGGAAUCUAAAAAGAUCGAAAAGGACGGUAAAAGUUCCGAUCUAGGGAUACAUAAACUGAUAAAGCAACGCCAAAGGGAU